rnacentral:misc_RNA from 1 species
GAUGAAGAACGCAGCGAAAUGCGAUAAGUAAUGUGAAUUGCAGAAUUCAGUGAAUCAUCGAAUCUUUGAACGCACAUUGCGCCCCUUGGUAUUCCGAGGGGCAUGCCUGUUCGAGCGUCAUUAUAACCCUCAAGCUCAGCUUGGUGUUGGGGCCUGCUGCACUGGCAGCCCUUAAAAUCAGUGGCGGCGCCAUCUGGCUCUAAGCGUAGUAAUUCUUCUCGCUAUGGAAUCCUGGUGGAUGCUUGCCAUCAACCCCCAAUUUUUCUAUGGUUGACCUCGGAUCAGGUAGGGAUACCCGCUGAACUUAAGCAUAUCAAUAAGCGGAGGA